rnacentral:rRNA from 2 species
GAUGGGGGACGCAGUCUGAUGGAGCACGCCGCGUGAGUGAAGAAGGCUUUCGGGUCGUAAAACUCUGUUGUUGGAGAAGAAUGGUCGGCAGAGUAACUGUUGUCGGCGUGACGGUAUCCAACCAGAAAGCCACGGCUAACUACGUGCCAGCAGCCGCGGUAAUACGUAGGUGGCAAGCGUUAUCCGGAUUUAUUGGGCGUAAAGCGAGCGCAGGCGGUUUUUUAAGUCUGAUGUGAAAGCCCUCGGCUUAACCGAGGAAGCGCAUCGGAAACUGGGAAACUUGAGUGCAGAAGAGGACAGUGGAACUCCAUGUGUAGCGGUGAAAUGCGUAGAUAUAUGGAAGAACACCAGUGGCGAAGGCGGCUGUCUGGUCUGUAACUGACGCUGAGGCUCGAAAGCAUGGGUAGCGAACAGGAUUAGAUACCCUGGUAG